rnacentral:lncRNA from 10 species
CGGAGGGAGCCACACGUCAUUUUUGGCUUUUCUGUAUUGGUGUGCGGGGCUGCUACGUGCUCGGCUUAGAGAAUUAGAAGGGUCCGUCUCUUUUUGCCCACUGGAGUCUGGCACUUGGGGCACUGCCUCCCUGUUGGUGGUGGUGGUGAUGGAGCUGUAGGAGGGAGGCUAGCAGUGGGAGCUUCUCCUGCUGGGCUGGAAGACAAGCAGAAGGAAGAGGCACCACCGCAUGCUGGAGGCUGGAGCCACGGCGGCUUGCCUCGCUGCGGUUGGUGGUGACAUCGGAGACCGCAGCUACGGUAAUACAAAGCCGUGUCCUCGGCUCUGAGGCUGUUCGUUUGCAGAUACAAGCUAAAGCAAGCUCAGUACUACUGGUGAUUUGGAAAGUGCCUUCAUAUUGUUUUUGCCAGUUCUCACCUGAGAACCCUGCAGAUGCCCCAUGAGAGGCUGUGCCCUUUACAAGGAGUCUCCAGUGAUACAGCUGAUUUUCCUCCAUACUCUAAUCCCCUUCAUGGCUGCAGCAUCAACAGAUUGCUCUCUUGAAUCUGACCCCAGUUG